CUCACCAGGUCAGGACACGGUAAGGAUUGACGGACUGAAGGCUCUUUCUCGAUUCCGUGGAAAGUGGUGCAUGGCCGUUUUUGGUUGGUGGAUCGAUCCGUCUGGUUAAUUCCGUUAACGAACGAGACCUCGGCACUCCGAAUAGCGCGGCGGACGUCGCGGCCUCCGGGCCGUCUUCCGCACGAGCUUCUUAGAGGGACCGUCCCCGCCGGGGAAGGAGGUGCGAGGCAACGACAGGUCUGUGAUGCCCUUAGAUGUUCUGGGCCGCACGCGCAUUACACUGACGCGUCCAACGGGUGACUCCCGACCCGAAGGGGCCGGGGAAUCCGCAAGGCGCGUCGUGAUGGGGAUUGAACGUUGCAAUUGUUGUUCACGAACGAGGAAUUCCUAGUAGGCGCGGGUCAUCAACCCGCGCCGAUUACGUCCCUGCCC
rnacentral:rRNA from 1 species